UCCGGUUUGUCACCGGCAGUCCCAUUAGAGUGCUCAACUGAAUGUAGCAACUAAUGGCAAGGGUUGCGCUCGUUGCGGGACUUAACCCAACAUCUCACGACACGAGCUGACGACAGCCAUGCAGCACCUGUGAACCGGCCCUUGCGGGCGAGGACAUCUCUGCCACUCUUCCAGUUCAUGUCAAGUCCGGGUAAGGUUCUUCGCGUUGCAUCGAAUUAAACCACAUGCUCCACCGCUUGUGCGGGCCCCCGUCAAUUUCUUUGAGUUUUAAUCUUGCGACCGUACUCCCCAGGCGGGAUACUUAACGCGUUAGCUACGUCACUAGAGGGGUCAAUACCUCUAACAACAAGUAUCCAUCGUUUACGGCAUGGACUAC
rnacentral:misc_RNA from 1 species